UAAUCCAGGAAGAGGAGCGGCAAUGUGAAUUUAAGAUUCUCAAGUUCCAACAAGCAGAGGUUAUUAAAGCUGCAGCCGUCCUGAAGAUCAACUGCACCAACAUUUAUUCACCUCAUAUAAACCUCAUGAUCACAGAAAGACUUCCACUGUUUUAUAUCCACACAUAUUUAAAUAUACACCACAUAUAAACACACACUCUCUCUUUCUCUCUCUCUGGCUUUUUGACCUCUGAAGGAGCGUUAAUUUUUCUGUUUUUCCUCCUUUGUGUUGUUUGUUUUGUGUUUGUUGUUCAUUCUCUUUUUACCCUUCUCCUAAUCCUUUCUCAAAUCUGUGUCACUUCUUUCUCUGCCGUCCAGAAAGGUGAUCUUCUCCAGUGUACCCAGCUGAGCCAUGUGGUCUCUCACUGAUGUCAGGUCCAGAUGAUCCUAAACAAGAGGAGCUCAAUCUGGUGUGAUCUGAGGGUUGAUGACUUUGACUGUCAUUGAUGUCACCUCUGAAAAUAGGAAAUGUCUGCACUGUAAGAGGGAGGGCCGUCUGAUUAGAGCCUGUCCAUUUAGAGGUGAAGCUGCCUUCUUUCUUUUUCUUUCCUCUCUUUCUUCUUUGCAGUGUUGCUGUGCAGUCUCUUGCAGCUGAGACUGUGGGCUCAAUUUUCGUGCGCGCUGGUGAGGCGGCGGAGGGCGGCGAGCCCCGCGCAGUUGUAUUUUCGUCUGGCGGAGCCCAGCGUAAGGCCAGUUUGGUAUUUUCGUGGACUGAGCCGCACGGAGGCGAGCCGAGAUCCGCCAAGCUGGGCGUGGUGGCGUGGCAGGGGGAGGUGUCGACAGAAUCAGCAGGCGCAGUGACAUUUUCGUGCUCGCCACCGGCGUGUAAAGUGCGCUGAAAGCUCGCCGAUUCAAACCUGGUCAGCUUUCUGCGCAUGGCAGAGCGAAGCUGGUCUAGUAGUAUUUUGGUAGACUGGCGGCGUAUCGGCAUACGUCACCGAUGCCUCACCGGCAGGUUUCCACAGUGUCAGGCACAUUUCAGUGCAAUAAAUAAUCAUCAACAACUAUUAAUCUGAGUCAGCACAUUCAUUUAGAUCUAUAUAAAUAUAUUCUGAUCUAUAUGUGAUCUGAUGAGCGCGUUUGGCACGCGUUUGGACACACAACCUGACCGAAUCAAUACAGCUGAAACCGCAUCAAAUUAAAUUAAAUAUCUAGUAAAUAAACAAACAUGAUGAAGUGAACAAGAUAUUUAAUUCGUCUCCCUCCUUUUCUUUCUUCCUCUUCCUCUUAUUUCUCGCACAGCUCAACCUGGACACGUCUCCGUGUCCUCUUCUCGUCCUGCUGCUGCGGCUGAACAGAUGAUUUGUUUCAGUGCUCAGAUGCGUGAUCUACUUUAAGCCGACAUACGGAUAUUAUAAUAUUCAGUUUUGUGGGCCAAAUUUAUUUUAUAUGCCAACAUCUAUGAAAGAAAGAGCCAGGCCAUGGAGCGCGAUGCGUCAUUUAUGCACAGAUGGUUCCAAUUUUAAUGCCAUUUUUGGAGUUUCUGUUGUGAUCUGUGCGCUCAACCCACCUUUGUCACGUGAGGUUUGAAUAUAUGCAACUUUAUGUGUGUCUUUAUUUGUGGAAAAGGGUGUUUGUCUUACCAGUGGGUCCAACAUUACACACACCAAAUCCAUCUGUGCUCAUAUGAGAGAGUGUGGAGGACACUUGUUGAGGAGCUGCCCUCUGUCGCCAUCUUGUGGCAUUACUGUCUUACGACAUCUCUUGAUCUCUUUGACUACAUGAAAAUAGUAAUACGCCUCGCCUGUGGCGGAUUUAAAGGCAAGGAGAGGAGCCUAUGUGAUUGGUGAAAACAGGUCUCGGCUGUGUCAAACACACUACACGCCCUCUCUCCUCCCCGUCUACGACUUAUGCUGCUGGGAGGAGCUGAGUUAGGGAGGGGGGAUACUUACGCCGGGCUGCGCGGCUCACCAAAAUACCAAAAUGUGCUUGGGAACGCCUUGUCAGCGCGGCGGAUCUGACUGACGCUGCGCUUGCGGCACGUCUCCGGCGAGGCACGAAAAUAGAGCCCUGUGUCAUGGCCUUUGUGUUGUUCCACAGAGCAGAGAGAACAGAUAGACUGUUGAUCAGUGCGGCAGAAGAUCUUCAUCACCUCAUCAUGACGAGAGCAGAUGUUCUCCUGGAGCUUCUUGGAGGGCUCCACCAGCUUGUGUUUCUUAAAUGGGGCCACUUCAAAAUGAGGCUGGAGGUGAAUCUGGCAGUAAGAAACCAGACAUUGCAGACAGGACUUGACAGCUUUCAGUUUUCUCUCACUGCAGAAAUCACAGGCCACAUCUUCAGGUCCAGCAUCAGAGGGAUCAUCAGGAGCAGCUUGGAGUCCGCUCUUCUUCAGUUCCUCCACUAAACCUGCUAACAGGGUGCUUUUCAUCAGGACAGGCCUCGGUGUGAAGGGCUGUCUGCACUGAGGACAGCUGUAGAUCUUCUUCUCAUCCUCUUUAUCCCAGUAGGUUUGAAUACAGCUCAUGCAGAAGCUGUGUCCACAGGUAACAGUCACCGGAUCCUUCAGUAGAUCCAAACAGAUGAAACAAGAGAAAGAUUCCCGGUCCAGACCAACUCCUUUUUGCGCCAUUUCAACACUCACUGUCAACAACGACUGACUGAAUGAGUUUCAUUUCCUCAGAAGUCAAACUAGUCUGAGCUCUGAUCUCAACAACAUGUGUGAGUCAGCAGGAUCAGCUCAGCACCUGUGGUUACACCCAAACUCAGACUGUAGAUCUGAAGGGGAGGGAACAAGGAAGUGUGAGCUGUGUGAGAGACGAGGGAGGGGAAAUCCAGUUUUUUUACAAUCCAGUAAGAGGAGCGGCGAUGUGAACUUUAGACUCUCAAACUCCAACAAGCAGAGGUGAUUAAAGCUGCAGCCGUCCUGAAGAUCAACUGCACCAACAUUUAUUCACCUCAUAUAAACCUCAUGAUCACAGAAAGACUUCCACUCUUUUAUAUCCACACAUAUUUAAAGAUACACCACAUAUAAACACACUCUCUCUCUUCUCUCUCUCUCUCUUUUGACCUCUGAGGGAGCAUUAGUUUUCUAACUCUUUUUCUUUCUUUAUGUGUUGUUUGGUUUGUGCUCUUUGUUUAUUCUCCGUUUACCCAUCUCCUAAUCAUUUCUCAAAUCUGUGUCUCCUCCUUCUCUGCCGUCCAGAAAGGUGAUCUUCUCCAGUGUACCCAGCUGAGCCAUGUGGUCUCUCACUGAUGUCAGGUCCAGAUGAUCCUAAACAAGAGGAAGGAGGAGCUCAAUCUGGUGUGAUCUGAGGGUUGAUGACUUUGACUGUCAUUGAUGUCACCUCUGAAAAUAGGAAAUGUCUGCACUGUAAGAGGGAGGGCCGUCUGAUUAGAGCCUGUCCAAUUAAAGGUGAAGCUGCCUUCUUUCUUUUUCUUUCCUCUUUUUAUCUUUUUGAUACCCUGAUUUUUGCUUUUUGGGCAGCAAGAUGUCUAACUUCCAGGUCAUUCAGUCUGGUCUCACUCACUGACAUUACACUUGUCGUCAGUCGCUGUCGGGUGGACUAAAUCAUAAAGAAAAAGAUUCGAGGUGCUUUCAGUGACUCAGUUUGAUGAUUUUUAUUUUUUUCACCCACACAAUCAAAAACUCAUAAUUGAAAAGCUCAUAACAAGUUGAUCAACCAAAAGUCUCAUUAUAGAUGUCUUUACAAACAGACUGAUCCAACAGAAGCAGACAGAAAAAUCCAUCAAUGACAUUCAUACAAAUAUUCAGCAAACAGAGAAAGCACAGAUCAUUGAAAGUGUUUUUGGGGCAGACUGGAAAGACUUUAGACUGUUGGAUUUGG
rnacentral:lncRNA from 1 species